rnacentral:rRNA from 1 species
GGACUACCAGGGUUUCUAAUCCCGUUCGCUCCCCUAGCUUUCGUGCCUCAGCGUCAGAUAAGACCCAGUACGCCGCUUUCGCCACCGGUGUUCCUUAGGAUAUCAACGCAUUUCACCGCUCCACCCUAAGUUCCGCGUACCUCUGUCUUCCUCUAGUGCAGCAGUUUUGGGCGCAAUUCCUCGGUUGAGCCGAGGGCUUUCACACCCAACUUUCUGCACCGCCUACGCACCCUUUAAGCCCAGUAAUUCCGAAUAACGUUAGCAAGGUUCGUCUUACCGCGGCUGCUGGCAC